GUCUAUUCGGGAACAUCUAUGAAAUUGAAAUGAUACAAAGAAGAUUAACAUUGCCCAUGCACAAAAAUGACACACACAAAGUGAGAAAUAUACUAUUAGUAG